UUUCUUGAUUCUCUGGGUAGUGGUGCAUGGCCGUUCUUAGUUGGUGGAGUGAUUUCUCUGGUUAAUUCCGUUAACGAACGAGACCUUAACCUGCUAUUUAGUCGCUCGGUCUCUGUCCGUGCGCACUUCAUAGAGGGACUCUGCGGCGUCAAGCUGCGGUGAGGUUUAAGGCAAUAACAGGUCUGUGAUGCCCUUAGAUGUCCUGGGCUGCACGCGCGCUACACUGAUGCUUGCCUCGUGUUUACCCUCGGCCGAUAGGCCCUGGUAACCCCUAGUCUGCAUCGUGUUUGGGAUUGAUCUUUGCAAUUCUAGAUCAUGAACGAGGAAUGCCUAGUAUGCGCAAGUCAUCAGCUUGUGCAGAUUACGUCCCUGCCCUUUGUACACACC
rnacentral:rRNA from 1 species